GAUGAACGCUGACAGAAUGCUUAACACAUGCAAGUCAACUUGAACUUCGGUUUGGGUGGCGGACGGGUGAGUCACGCGUAAAGAACUUGCCUCACAGAUAGGGACAACAUUUGGAAACGAAUGCUAAUACCUGAUAUUAUGAUUAUAUGGCAUCGUAUAAUUAUGAAAGCUAUAUGCGCUGUGAGAGAGCUUUGCGUCCCAUUAGCUAGUUGGAGAGGUAACGGCUCACCAAGGCGAUGAUGGGUAGCCGGCCUGAGAGGGUGAUCGGCCACAAGGGGACUGAGACACGGCCCUUACUCCUACGGGAGGCAGCAGUGGGGAAUAUUGGACAAUGGACCAAGAGUCUGAUCCAGCAAUUCUGUGUGCACGAUGAAGUUUUUCGGAAUGUAAAGUGCUUCCAGUUGGGAAGAAAAAAAUGACGGUACCAACAGAAGAAGUGACGGCUAAAUACGUG
rnacentral:rRNA from 1 species